UACGUAGGGACCAAGCGUUGUUCGGAUUUACUGGGCGUAAAGGGCGCGUAGGCGGCAAUUCAAGUCAUCUGUGAAAUCUCCGGGCUUAACCCGGAACGGUCAAUCGAUACUGCGGGGCUAGAGUGCAGAAGGGGCAACUGGAAUUCUCGGUGUAGCGGUGAAAUGCGUAGAUAUCGAGAGGAACACCUGCGGCGAAGGCGGGUUGCUGGGCUGACACUGACGCUGAGGCGCGAAAGCUAGGGGAGCGAACGGG
rnacentral:rRNA from 1 species